ACAAGGAUAGCUAGUUGUGUCUUUGCAUUGAUGGAAGGAGAGGUUCUUGUUGUGGUGUGAAUCUAGACAGAAUGGUGGGCAACAUGGAAUGUAGAGAAUAAUUCCCUUUUCUCCAUUCUGAUCUCUUUCCAACCUUUAAUUUCCUUUUCAGCAUUGCAGAAUUUACCAGAAUCAAAUAAAGUUGAAAGAUCAGUGUCAGGAUAAAUAUAAGAUGCUGUGAAAUAAUUAUGGCCACUCAUCCACACACUCAGCUAACUAAACUUUCAUCUUCAUCCAGUCCAAAUUAUGACCAGGUUCAGUUCUAUCGUCUUUAUUUGCUUGGUCCCCUCCUCGUUCAUGAUAUAUAGACAAACCUUCACCAUGUUUAGGCUUGUGUUUUUGAAACGAAGAAACACAAAGAACGUUAGCUGUCCCCCGGAGUUUCCCUGACCACUUCACUGGGGCUAUAAUUCUACUCUUCGUGUUCGAGGGUAGAGGCAACCCUUCCCCACUGAAGUGUUUGGGGGAACUCUGGGUGGCAUUUGACACUGUUUAGCAGUCGGAAACUGGGUGAUGAAGUCCAGUCAUUGGAAAUUGAUAUACGCAAUGUCGGCCUCAGAAAUGUCACAAUAUCACAGCCUCAUGCCAGCAUAACUACAUCCUACAUAUGAGUACAGAAACUUGUGCACCUGCAGCUACAAACACGAAUGCUAGAGAACAGAACAAAUGCUAUAGACUGGCCAAUGUAGACGGAUAGUGAUUUAUGAGAUAGAUGGAGAUCAUGCAUGUGUCAUUACUAGUGAUCAUGGUACAAGUUGGUUUACAGCAAGCAAAACAUAUAUUUUGUUUUUGUUUUUUUGAAAUUAGCAAGAAACUUGCAGGCUAAAAGUUGUUGUUGUGAUUUGUAUUCGGUUUCAUUGAAUGGAAGUUGGAAUAAGAAGGCUUAAAUUUGUUCUUGAUGGUUAAA